CAGCCGCCGCGGUAAGACAGAGGAUGCAAGCGUUAUCCGGAAUGAUUGGGCGUAAAGCGUCUGUAGGUGGCUUUUCAAGUCCGCCGUCAAAUCCCAGGGCUCAACCCGAAGUCUGCACGGGAAACUACUGGGCUUGAGUAAUGGAGAGGUGAGUGGAGUUUCCGGUGUAGCGGUGAAAUGCGUAGAUAUCGGAAGGAACACCUGUGGCGAAAGCGGCUCACUGGACGUUUACUGACGCUGAUGCACGAAAGCUAGGGGAGCAAACAGGAUUAGAUACCCCGGUAGUCCCUGUCUCUUAUAC
rnacentral:rRNA from 1 species